GACGAACGCUGGCGGCGUGCUUAACACAUGCAAGUCGAACGAAGUGGCGAACGGGUGAGUAACGCGUAAUCAACCUGCCCUUCAGAGGGGGACAACAGUUGAAAACGACUGCUAAUACCGCAUACUGAAGGAGGGGAUUGCGUCUGAUUAGCUAGUUGGAGGGGUAACGCCCCACCAAGGUGAUGAUCAGUAGGCGGUCCGAGAGGAGGAACGGCCCCAUUGGGACUGGGACACGGGCCAGACUCCUACGGGGGGGAGCAGUUGGGAAACUUCCGCAAUGGACGAAAGUCGGACGGAGGAACGCCGCGUGAGUGAUGACGGCCUUCGGGUUGUAAAGCUCUGUUAAUCGGGACGCGGUACCGGAAUAGAAAGCAACGGCUAACUACGUGCCAGCAGCCGCGGUAAUAC
rnacentral:rRNA from 1 species